UGGGGAAUUUUGGACAAUGGGCGCAAGCCUGAUCCAGCCAUGCCGCGUGCGGGAAGAAGGCCUUCGGGUUGUAAACCGCUUUUGUCAGGGAAGAAAUCUUCUGAGUUAAUACCUCGGGAGGAUGACGGUACCUGAAGAAUAAGCACCGGCUAACUACGUGCCAGCAGCCGCGGUAAUACGUAGGGUGCAAGCGUUAAUCGGAAUUACUGGGCGUAAAGCGUGCGCAGGCGGUUUUGUAAGACAGAGGUGAAAUCCGGCNCACNGGGAACUGCCUUUGUGACUGCAAGGCUUGAGUGCGGCAGAGGGGGGAUGGAAUUCCGCGUGUAGCAGUGAAAAUGCGUNGAUAUGCGGAGGAACACCGAUGGC
rnacentral:rRNA from 1 species